UUCAAUAGAAUUUCUGUUAAAGGCCCAAACCCCUCUCCGAUCAUCGCUCUCUGUUAAUCGCCGCCGUGGUCGACUCCCGCCGUCCAUCCCGGACGUUUUCUACGGCUAAUUCUUCAUCUCUAUCGUGUCUAUCCAAGAUGGCAUCACUUCAAGAAAGCUUGCAAAGGUUCAAGAAGCAGCAAGAGAAGUGCCAAGCUAUUAGCAGUAUGGCUGCCAGAGCAGGACCUUCCAAGGGAGCUCCUCCAAGACCAGCUAAUGCAAAACCUCCUGCACCUGCAGUCAAAUUUUCAAAUGACACGGAAAGGCUCCAGCAUAUAAAUAGUAUAAGGAAAGGGCCUGUUGGGGCUCAGAUAAAACGUGUCAUAGACUUGCUUCUGGAGACAAGGCAAGCUUUCACACCAGAACAGAUCAAUGAAGCAUGUUAUGUUGAUAUAAAUGGCAAUAAAGCUGUGUUUGACAGUUUGAGGAACAACCUCAAAGUAUAUUAUGAUGGCAAUCGCUUCUCUUAUAAGUCGAAACAUGCUCUGAAAAAUAAAGAACAACUACUUAUCUUGAUACGAAAAUUCCCUGAGGGUAUUGCUGUAAUCGACCUCAAGGAUGCAUACCCAACUGUCAUGGAGGACCUGCAGGCUCUCAAAGGUGCUGGUCAAAUAUGGCUGCUGUCAAAUUUUGAUUCCCAGGAAGACAUUGCCUUCCCAAAUGAUCCACGAGUACCUAUUAAGGUUGAUGAUGAUUUGAAACAGUUAUUCAGAGGUAUUGAAUUACCACGUGACAUGCUUGAUAUUGAAAGGGAUCUCCAGAAGAAUGGAAUGAAACCUGCUACAAACACUGCAAAGAGAAGGGCAAUGGCACAAGUCCAUGGCAUUGUCCCCAAGCCCAAAACCAAGAAGAAGAAGCAUGAGAUUAGCAAAAGGACUAAGCUUACAAAUGCUCAUCUUCCAGAACUCUUCAAACUUUAGAUAUCUAUUGGUUCAUAAACUUCUCCUGAAUCGAAAAGAAGCACUGGAGUUCCUCCUCUCCUUUCCAGAUUCUGUUGUCUAGUGACUGAGCCUCCAAUAUCUAAUGCUACACAUACGUC